GCUACCAUGCAGUCGACGGUAACAGCAGAGCUUGCUCUGGCUGACGAGUGGCGCACGGGUGAGUAAUAUAUAGGUAAUGUGCCCCUUGGACCAGGAUAGCCACUGGAAACGGUGAUUAAUACUGGAUACUCCUUCUAACUCUAAUGUUAGUCGGGAAAUGGAUUCCGCCAAGGGAUCGGCCUAUAUCCUAUCAGCUUGUUGGUAGUGUAAGAAGACUACCAAGGCAAUGACGGGUAGCGGGUUUGAGAGGAUGAUCCGCCACACUGGUACUGAGACACGGACCAGACUCCUACGGGAGGCAGCAGUGAGGAAUAUUGCACAAUGGGGGAAACCCUGAUGCAGCAACGCCGCGUGGAGGAUGACGCAUUUCGGUGUGUAAACUCCUUUUAUAUGUCAAGAAAAUGACGGUAGCAUAUGAAUAAGCACCGGCUAACUCCGUGCCAGCAGCCGCGGUAAUACGGAGGGUGCAAGCGUUAUUCGGAAUCACUGGGCGUAAAGGACGCGUAGGCGGGUUGGUAAGUCAGAUGUGAAAUCCUACAGCUUAACUGUAGAACUGCAUUUGAAACUACUAACCUAGAGUAUGGGAGGGGGAGAUGGAAUUAGUGUGUAGGGGGUAAAAUCCGUAGAUAUCACUAGGAAUACCGAAAGCGAAGGCGAUCUCCUGGAACAUACUGACGCUAGCGUGAAAGCG
rnacentral:rRNA from 1 species